rnacentral:lncRNA from 1 species
UACAACUGCCCCAGUGAGAACAGUGUCUGCUGUGUCUGCAACAGUGAACAAGGAAAGCAGGAGAUGACCCCCUCUCCAUGUCUUUGAC